rnacentral:rRNA from 1 species
GUCGAGCGCGCCCUUCGGGGUGAGCGGCGGACGGGUGAGUAACGCGUGGGAAUAUGCCCUUCUCUAAGGAAUAGCCUCUGGAAACGGAGAGUAAUACCUUAUACGCCCUUUGGGGGAAAGAUUUAUCGGAGAAGGAUUAGCCCGCGUUAGAUUAGGUAGUUGGUGGGGUAAUGGCCUACCAAGCCUACGAUCUAUAGCUGGUUUGAGAGGAUGAUCAGCCACACUGGGACUGAGACACGGCCCAGACUCCUACGGGAGGCAGCAGUAGGGAAUCUUAGACAAUGGGGGCAACCCUGAUCUAGCCAUGCCGCGUGUGUGAUGAAGGCCCUAGGGUCGUAAAGCACUUUCGCCAGAGAUGAUAAUGACAGUAUCUGGUAAAGAAACCCCGGCUAACUCCGUGCCAGCAGCCGCGGUAAUACGGAGGGGGUUAGCGUUGUUCGGAAUUACUGGGCGUAAAGCGCACGUAGGCGGAUUAGUAAGUUAGAGGUGAAAUCCCAGGGCUCAACCCUGGAACUGCCUUUAAUACUGCUAGUCUUGAGUUCGAGAGA